UACAGAGGGUGCAAGCGUUGCUCGGAAUCAUUGGGCGUAAAGGGUAGGUAGGUGGUCUCGUUUGUCUGGGGUGAAAUCCUUGAGCUUAACUCAAGAAGUGCCUUAGAAACGGCGAGACUAGAGUCUUGGAGAGGGUCGUGGAAUUCCCGGUGUAGCGGUGAAAUGCGUAGAGAUCGGGAGGAACACCAGAGGCGAAAGCGGCGGCCUGGACAAGUACUGACACUCAACUACGAAAGCGUGGGUAGCAAACAGG
rnacentral:rRNA from 1 species